rnacentral:misc_RNA from 1 species
GUGAAUCUCACAGCCAAUGUCAGCAUGUCUUUCAGUGGCAAAUCACAAUUAGGUGAACAGAGAUCGCAGACAGUAGUGCUUCAAACAAUCAUCCCUCAAUCACAAUAUGCAGGUUAUCAAACUUCCACAUUUAUAAAACGAAUAUUUUAGGGCUUAAAACAAUAUAAGACAAUUUUCUUUAUACAUUACCCCUUUUCUACAAGAAAAAAAGCACACUAUGAUUUAAAAUUCUUAACAAACUAAGAACACAAGUAAUAUUUUUUAUAGGAACAAAAUGUUACACUUGGCAAGACCAAAAAAAAUUAUUACCUCUACUGGUGACAUGAAACUUAGACGACAUGCUCGCGAGUAAUUUCUACUGUAAAAUAGUCUAGCACUAGUUUCUGGCUCA